ACCGCCCAAAUUACCUUUAAAUAUAUGUACCGUACCGGAUGCAUCGGUGCGACACAUUUCUGGUAGAAAAGUCGUCCGCAGAAAAAAAAAAAAAACACUACCGAUGUAGCCGCCAUCGUCGUUUCGAAGUGAUUCCCGCGGUCCGAUUUCAAAUCGCGUCUAAACCGUCCGCGUAACGGGUCUCGUGCGUUCGUAAUCAUUGUUGCCGUUACGCCGUCGUGUACAGUGAACCGUCGUCG